CCACCCACUGAGCAAAAUGGUGAAUGGUGCCACUGGCAAAGAGUUGACUUUCACAUAUAUAUGUCGAGGAUUCGAAACCCACUCUCAGCACUUUUGUAUCUGGAGCCUUUAUUUCUUUCUUUAUUUUCAAUGGUGCUUUUUAUGCUUGUUGUUCUUUAUUAAUCCAAAUCAAUUUUUUCUUUAAUUAAUUCUUGAUUUUUUCUUUAAUUCUUGAUUUUUUCUU
rnacentral:lncRNA from 1 species